AAAUAUGGUAACAAACAGCAUAUUGAGUAAUUUUCCUAUUUUUAUUUGAAUAUAAUCAAAUUUUAUUUAUAAAAUUAAAAAAAUAUAAGUCCUAAACCCCUUUCUCUCUCCCACCCUACCUGAUCCUCUCCCUCUCUCUCGUUUGGUCUCUGCUAGCCCCGAACGGCUGCCCUCCGAUGUUCGCCGCCGCCGCCGUGCAGACACCGGACCAGGAGAACCAUACACUACAGAAACUCUAGCCCCGCGAGCCCUUCGUUGUUGUUCUCCGCCGCGAGCAGAAGCCCCGGGUUCGUAUGUCGUCGCCGUGGCUUCAGGCCAAUUUCUGGCCUCCUCUGACAUCGUCUCAGGCGAAGGGUAGCAUGGAUAAACUCAGGAAUGAAAGAGACAGUGGAACACAUGUAUUUAAUUAAAUUUCAUAGCUCUUGGACAAAGAGACUAGAUGUUGACAGCCCUCAAGCAGUGUCAUGGGAGCAGUUCCAAUAAUUUGAUUUGGGAAAUUUUUGACAAAAUAUUUGGGAAUUUUCAGAUGGCACGGUUCCAAUAAUGGCUUGCAGAAAGUAUUUUUGUGGUAUGCUCUGAAACAAUAACUAUUAGCUAUAAUUAACAUUAAAUUAACCAACUUUGAUCAUUGUAUAUGUUAUU